AGCCGCACAGCACAGGGAGAUUAUCUUGGUGCUUUGUGUCCACCUAGAGGGUGGGAUAGGGAGUGUGGGAGGGAGAUGCAAGAGGGAGGAGAUAUGGGGAUAUAUGUAUAUGUGUAGCUGAUUCACUUUGUUAUAAAGCAGAAACUAACACACCAUUGUAAAGCAAGUAUACUCCAAUAAAGAUGUAAAAGAAAAAAAGAAUAAGGAAAUAUUACAGAAUUACAGCACCAAAGCAAGCCAACAAAGGUGCAGUGCAAACAUUUUCUAUAAACAACGUAGUCAACCAAAUAUUUACUGAACACUCACUUCAUACAAGGCACUUCUGCUAAAUGUCUUGAAGGUGCUCACUGAGGAAUGAGACUUGGCUCCUGUGUUUUCACAAAAUACUUAAGAAAACAAAGCACCGUACGUGAACAGUUAAGUAAUAAGAAGGAAUUAUGUACUGAGACUUUGUUUAUACAAAGCAAUACAGAGAAAAUAUACAUUAGGACUGCUUCUAAACAAUGCUUGGUAAGUAAUUAUAAGUGGAAGGACUGAGCAAUAGGAAAAGAUCCUUCAGCUGGAUUCAGUCCAGCUGAGUAUGUAUCUCACUGAACAUCAGCAUCUCAGCUAUUCAUUCCCAUGGUAACCGGAAAGUCUAGGGGACUAAUCACAGUAAUACUCAUCAAGGUAAUUCAAAGAAUAAUAGCACAUGCUGAGGCUAUAUUUCAGACACAGGCAAUACACUUUGCUAGUAUCAUCUCAUUUAAAUCUCACAACAACCCUAAGAGGUAGCAACUACCCUGAGGUUCGGAGUGGGUAAAUGGUCUCACAUCAGGUAAGUGGAAAGAGCCGGGACUUGGACCCAGGUCUGCUUGGCUAUGGCUUAUGCUUCAAAAUCAGGAUGGGAAGGUGCCUCAUCUCUUAGCACCUCCUUCCAAGAGGAAAGAAUGAAGAAAGACUUCAUGAAGAGAAGCAAGAAUCUAUAGGAAAGAGAAAUUCACAAUUGGUAAAUGUACUAUAGGUGUUGGAGACAUGAACUGAACCCAAAGCAAGCCUCGGACUCCAACUGUUAAAAAUCUUCUCUGGAAAUGAGCAUGUGUAGGCAACACCGAUACCAGGAUGCAGCCAGUGUGCGUGAGAAGCAGACGUGAGCAGAGAGAGUGAGAAAGAGGAAGACGAGAAGAAAGUGAGGGAGAAUUAAGGAGCUGAGUGGACAAAGGUGGAGAGAGAAUGCUGUGAUCUCCCAAACAUUCAUAAUUUUUAUCCCAUCACAUGUAAAUUGAAGUGUCUAAAUUAAACUCCAGGGACUUUCCUGGUGGCACAGUGGUUAAGAAUCGGCCUGCCAAUGCAGGGGACAUGGCUUCGAGCCCUGGUCCAGGAAGAUUCCACAUGCCGUGGAGCAACUAAGCCUGUGCGCCAAAACUACUGAGCCUGUGCUCUAGAGCCCAUGAGCCACAACUACUGAAGCCCACGCACCUAGAGCCUGUGCUCCGCAACAAAGAGAAGCCACUGCAAUGAGAAGCCCAUGCACCGCAAUGAAGAGUAGCCCUCACUGGCCAGAACUAGAGAAAAGCCUCCAUGUAGCAACGAAGA